AAUUGUAUGUAGAUGACCUGAUUUUCUCAAUGCACACACACACACAAGCGCGCGCGUCCAAUUAUAAUCAUCAAUAAAAGUUAGUUUGAAAAAGCCCGCCUUUUAGCUUGCUUCUAAUUGGCUAGCGUUCUCUGCUUUUUUAUCUCUCUCUCUCUCUCUCUCACUCUUUCAGAAAACAAAAAAACUAUUGUUUUUAUUAUUCUUAUUAUUCUUAACAGGAUGAUUACGAUCGUAAGACGCAAUUCGAAAAAACACGUAAUAAACUUAUGCAACGAAUUUAUGUUUCAGAGCGAAGAGAAGAAAAGAGAGAAGGGAGGGAUAGAAAUGAUGACGAGGGUCAACAACAUAAAAUACGUAAGCGUUAUCGAUAAAUCAAGGAAAUACCACGAUGACGUACUCGUGACGUGUGUCAAGAUAUAUUAUUUCUUAUAUAGCUGAAAAUAGCAACUAUGAGAGAGAGAGAGAGAGAGAGAGAACAAGCUUAAUUCUAUGAAGUUAGCAUCAAUGAAAUUUCAUUCUAAGAAGUAUUUUAUUUGAAAACAAAUUUAAUUCCAUAACUUAACAUAAGUAUUAUAUUCGAGAACCACUGUCAAAAUGAAUUUCCAUAUCUCUUAUCUAAUAUUAGAUAAUUUAUAUUACGUUUUGUUUUUAAUGUAUUCUGAAACAAAAUGAAUAAUAAUAAUAUACUAAAACGAAAUGAAAUGAUGAAUUCUAUCGAUAAUAAAAAAAAGAUAGAUAAAUUCCAUCUCGAAAACAAAACAAAGUAAUAUUAUAAAAAGGCUCGUCUUGAAUUAGGUCAACGACCUAACGUGGAGGACGCAAGAAAAAAAAAAUACGAUCAAUAAAGAAGAAUGGCAGGCAUGAUUUCGCAUAUAAGAGAGGCUAUUUCAAAAUACACGUGUUUGUAGAAUGUUUAUAUAAGUUUAUGUAAGAACGUAAUUAAGUCGUUCAAAGAAAUAUUCCUGAAUCACGUAAUAUUUACUCGAUCGAAACGAACUUCACGAAUUUUGUUAAAUGUAAUAAUUAGAAAAUUGUCACAAGAUAACAAUAAAGCUCCUAUAUUUUUUCUUAUCUUCGUGUUGCCAUUCAUCAAAAGUGAUAGGGAUCGGCUGUGGUGGUGCCUGGUACGGUUAAGAACCGGUCAAUUGUUAUUUCCUUUUUUUUUUUUUUUUUUAUUAUCGUGUACAUCACGUGAUUUCCGAACGACGUAGAAGAAUACAUAUCAUUUGGGAGAAAUCUACAUUAACGUUUCCAUAGAAUUUACCUUUGAAACGGAGACAUUCGAUUAAUUAAACACGCACACACAGACAUACGAAAUCUCGAUAAAGCACGAGAGAAAGAGAGAAAGAGAAAGAGAGAAAGCUUAAAUCCGGAGAACGGAAGGACCAAGCUGAAGUUGGUUGUGAUACAUGUAAGUUUAAAGUAUUGAUCGAAUCGAUGGUAGAAAUGCGUCGUAAACGAUAAUUAUGCGACUGAAAAUGAAAACAUUAUAUUUCAACAGCAUCAUAUCAAAUCUAUUGUCACUGAUGUGUUAUUUUUCCAUGGAAACGAAGUCGACGUUGUGUAAUGAGAAAGAGAGAGAGAGAGAGAGAGAAAAGAAAAAGUAAAGAGGGACGAAGGCUAGCGAGGUGAAAGCGAGCGAAAAUGGCGUCCUUCGAGAGUGGUAUCGUUCUCAUGACGAUACAACGAUGACUUCAACAUGAAAUGUUCUUACGAAUCCAACUUUCUAAUCUCUUUCUUAUGUAUACACAGAUCUAUGUUAAUAAAUAUUUUAUUACAUACAUACGUUAACAAUGAAACAA